UUAAGCGACUAAGCGUACACGGUGGAUGCCCUGGCAGUCAGAGGCGAUGAAGGACGUGCUAAUCUGCGAUAAGCGUCGGUAAGGUGAUAUGAACCGUUAUAACCGGCGAUUUCCGAAUGGGGAAACCCAGUGUGAUUCGUCACACUAUCAUUAACUGAAUCCAUAGGUUAAUGAGGCGAACCGGGGGAACUGAAACAUCUAAGUACCCCGAGGAAAAGAAAUCAACCGAGAUUCCCCCAGUAGCGGCGAGCGAACGGGGAGCAGCCCAGAGCCUGAAUCAGUGUGUGUGUUAGUGGAAGCGUCUGGAAAGGCGCGCGAUACAGGGUGACAGCCCCGUACACAAAAAUGCACAUAUUGUGAGCUCGAUGAGUAGGGCGGGACACGUGGUAUCCUGUCUGAAUAUGGGGGGACCAUCCUCCAAGGCUAAAUACUCCUGACUGACCGAUAGUGAACCAGUACCGUGAGGGAAAGGCGAAAAGAACCCCGGCGAGGGGAGUGAAAAAGAACCUGAAACCGUGUACGUACAAGCAGUGGGAGCACGCUUAGGCGUGUGACUGCGUACCUUUUGUAUAAUGGGUCAGCGACUUAUAUUCUGUAGCAAGGUUAACCGAAUAGGGGAGCCGAAGGGAAACCGAGUCUUAACUGGGCGUUAAGUUGCAGGGUAUAGACCCGAAACCCGGUGAUCUAGCCAUGGGCAGGUUGAAGGUUGGGUAACACUAACUGGAGGACCGAACCGACUAAUGUUGAAAAAUUAGCGGAUGACUUGUGGCUGGGGGUGAAAGGCCAAUCAAACCGGGAGAUAGCUGGUUCUCCCCGAAAGCUAUUUAGGUAGCGCCUCGUGAAUUCAUCUCCGGGGGUAGAGCACUGUUUCGGCAAGGGGGUCAUCCCGACUUACCAACCCGAUGCAAACUGCGAAUACCGGAGAAUGUUAUCACGGGAGACACACGGCGGGUGCUAACGUCCGUCGUGAAGAGGGAAACAACCCAGACCGCCAGCUAAGGUCCCAAAGUCAUGGUUAAGUGGGAAACGAUGUGGGAAGGCCCAGACAGCCAGGAUGUUGGCUUAGAAGCAGCCAUCAUUUAAAGAAAGCGUAAUAGCUCACUGGUCGAGUCGGCCUGCGCGGAAGAUGUAACGGGGCUAAACCAUGCACCGAAGCUGCGGCAGCGACGCUUAUGCGUUGUUGGGUAGGGGAGCGUUCUGUAAGCCUGUGAAGGUGUGCUGUGAGGCAUGCUGGAGGUAUCAGAAGUGCGAAUGCUGACAUAAGUAACGAUAAAGCGGGUGAAAAGCCCGCUCGCCGGAAGACCAAGGGUUCCUGUCCAACGUUAAUCGGGGCAGGGUGAGUCGACCCCUAAGGCGAGGCCGAAAGGCGUAGUCGAUGGGAAACAGGUUAAUAUUCCUGUACUUGGUGUUACUGCGAAGGGGGGACGGAGAAGGCUAUGUUGGCCGGGCGACGGUUGUCCCGGUUUAAGCGUGUAGGCUGGUUUUCCAGGCAAAUCCGGAAAAUCAAGGCUGAGGCGUGAUGACGAGGCACUACGGUGCUGAAGCAACAAAUGCCCUGCUUCCAGGAAAAGCCUCUAAGCAUCAGGUAACAUCAAAUCGUACCCCAAACCGACACAGGUGGUCAGGUAGAGAAUACCAAGGCGCUUGAGAGAACUCGGGUGAAGGAACUAGGCAAAAUGGUGCCGUAACUUCGGGAGAAGGCACGCUGAUAUGUAGGUGAAGCGACUUGCUCGUGGAGCUGAAAUCAGUCGAAGAUACCAGCUGGCUGCAACUGUUUAUUAAAAACACAGCACUGUGCAAACACGAAAGUGGACGUAUACGGUGUGACGCCUGCCCGGUGCCGGAAGGUUAAUUGAUGGGGUCAGCGCAAGCGAAGCUCUUGAUCGAAGCCCCGGUAAACGGCGGCCGUAACUAUAACGGUCCUAAGGUAGCGAAAUUCCUUGUCGGGUAAGUUCCGACCUGCACGAAUGGCGUAAUGAUGGCCAGGCUGUCUCCACCCGAGACUCAGUGAAAUUGAACUCGCUGUGAAGAUGCAGUGUACCCGCGGCAAGACGGAAAGACCCCGUGAACCUUUACUAUAGCUUGACACUGAACAUUGAGCCUUGAUGUGUAGGAUAGGUGGGAGGCUUUGAAGUGUGGACGCCAGUCUGCAUGGAGCCGACCUUGAAAUACCACCCUUUAAUGUUUGAUGUUCUAACGUUGACCCGUGAUCCGGGUUGCGGACAGUGUCUGGUGGGUAGUUUGACUGGGGCGGUCUCCUCCUAAAGAGUAACGGAGGAGCACGAAGGUUGGCUAAUCCUGGUCGGACAUCAGGAGGUUAGUGCAAUGGCAUAAGCCAGCUUGACUGCGAGCGUGACGGCGCGAGCAGGUGCGAAAGCAGGUCAUAGUGAUCCGGUGGUUCUGAAUGGAAGGGCCAUCGCUCAACGGAUAAAAGGUACUCCGGGGAUAACAGGCUGAUACCGCCCAAGAGUUCAUAUCGACGGCGGUGUUUGGCACCUCGAUGUCGGCUCAUCACAUCCUGGGGCUGAAGUAGGUCCCAAGGGUAUGGCUGUUCGCCAUUUAAAGUGGUACGCGAGCUGGGUUUAGAACGUCGUGAGACAGUUCGGUCCCUAUCUGCCGUGGGCGCUGGAGAACUGAGGGGGGCUGCUCCUAGUACGAGAGGACCGGAGUGGACGCAUCACUGGUGUUCGGGUUGUCAUGCCAAUGGCACUGCCCGGUAGCUAAAUGCGGAAGAGAUAAGUGCUGAAAGCAUCUAAGCACGAAACUUGCCCCGAGAUGAGUUCUCCCUGACUCCUUGAGAGUCCUGAAGGAACGUUGAAGACGACGACGUUGAUAGGCCGGGUGUGUAAGCGCAGCGAUGCGUUGAGCUAACCGGUACUAAUGAACCGUGAGGCUUAACCUU
rnacentral:rRNA from 1 species